GAAUACUUCAAGAUCUGGGCAAGAGGCAGGCUCCCUUUGUGAGGGGCAGCGCUGGGGGCUGCGGACAGCUGGAGAGGCUCCAGUAGGCUGGGAGAUGUGUAUGUGGAUGUUGGCUUGGAAACAGCAGCCCCAGCUCAGUGGCACUGCAGUCACUGACUGACUUGGGGCAGUGAAGAUGUAUACAAGAAGGCCAAGCUUCUCACUGCCCCAUCUUGCUGGGACAUGGCCGGAGUCAGCACGAGGAGAUGGUGGAGCUGCAUGUUCAAAGCCACAGCAGAUGGGGACCUGCAGGACAACCACAGGCAUCGUCCGUGCCCCACAUCUGUAACACACUUGGGUCUGUGUGAUAAUAACAGUGGAGUUAAAUCCAGCUGGCAACUGGUUGUAAGUGCUGUUCCCAAGGAGUCAGUAUUGGAGCUUGUCCUGUUUAAUAUCUUUACUGAUGAUGUGGAUGAGGGAAUUGAGUGCACACUGAUAAGUCAAAGACAACACCAAGCUGGGAAGAGGAAGUGUCAAUCUGCUUGGGGAUAGGCUGAAUCAAUUAACUGAGGCCAGUGGGAUAAAGUUGAACAAGACCAAGUGCCAGGUCCUGCUCCUUGGUCACAACAGCCCUAUGCAACGCUACAGGCUUGGCACAGAGUGGCUGGAAGACUGUGCUGAGGAAAAGGACCUGGGGGUGUUGGUUGAUGUUCAGCUGAACGUGAGCUGGCAGUGUGCCCAGGUGGCCAUGAAGGGACAUACAAAUGAUGGACCAGGGCAAGGAAAGACACCCAAUGGUUCUCAAGCCCAGCGUCAGCCCAGGCCCAUAGCGAUGCCCACAAGCUCCUUGCAGGAGUGCAGAACAGCCCCACGGUCCUGUUGAGGACGUGGAGCUGGGACAUGAGCUCCACCCUGUGUCCUUACAUCUGGGAGCAGAUGAGCGGGCCACUGUUAGGCCUGUAACAAGCACAGUGUCUUUAUGAUGAAUUACAGCCUUCCUUUUCAUAUCUACAACUGACUUUGACACAUGUAGCCGCAGCUGGCCCUACCUCUACAGUUUUAUUAGAUAAAUCUGAUUGAUGAGGGGUUGUUUUUUUUAAUUCCUCUCAAUCUCUUUAAAUUAAAAAAGGAGAGAGAGAGAGUUGAAAAGAGCUGUAAUUGCAAGUGAGCACUACAGAAACCUACAGCCAGCAGGCAUGCUUCAAAGGCAGCGGGGCAGCCUGGACCCUUUAGUUGCUGGCUAGCAGGGCUUCAAAUACGCCUACAUGAUGACUGUGUUUUAAUUUUGAUCCAUACCAAAAGAGCUUAAUUGGAAGGUGCUGUAAAUUUUUUGAUGUGUAUGUCCUUUUCAUAGAAUCACAGAAUCAUUUGAGUUGGAAGGGACCCCUAAAGGUCAUCUAGUCCAACUCCCCUGCAGUGAACAGGACAUCUACAGCUCCAUCAGGUGCUCAGAGCCUGGUCCAGUAACCUUGAGCACUUGUAGGAUGGGGCAUCCAUCUCCUCUCUGGGCAAUCUGUUCCAGUGCCUCACCACACCUACUGCAAAAAAUAUU
rnacentral:lncRNA from 1 species